rnacentral:rRNA from 1 species
AUUGAACGCUGGCGGCAUGCCUUACACAUGCAAGUCGAACGGUAACAGGUCUUCGGAUGCUGACGAGUGGCGAACGGGUGAGUAAUACAUCGGAACGUGCCCGAGAGUGGGGGAUAACGAGGCGAAAGCUUUGCUAAUACCGCAUACGAUCUCAGGAUGAAAGCAGGGGACCGCAAGGCCUUGCGCUCACGGAGCGGCCGAGGGCAGAUUAGGUAGUUGGUGGGAUAAAAGCUUACCAAGCCGACGAUCUGUAGCUGGUCUGAGAGGACGACCAGCCACACUGGGACUGAGACACGGCCCAGACUCCUACGGGAGGCAGCAGUGGGGAAUUUUGGACAAUGGGCGCAAGCCUGAUCCAGCCAUGCCGCGUGCAGGAUGAAGGCCUUCGGGUUGUAAACUGCUUUUGUACGGAACGAAAAGACUUCUUCUAAUAAAGGGGGUCCAUGACGGUACCGUAAGAAUAAGCACCGGCUAACUACGUGCCAGCAGCCGCCGUAAUAC